rnacentral:tRNA from 1 species
GCAGACAAUUGGCUCAGUCUGCAGACCAUGAGACUCUUAAUCUCAGGGUUGUGGGUUUGAGUCCCAUGUUGGGCA